rnacentral:rRNA from 1 species
AUUGAACGCUGGCGGCAUGCCUUACACAUGCAAGUCGAACGGUAACAGGUCUUCGGAUGCUGACGAGUGGCGAACGGGUGAGUAAUACAUCGGAACGUGCCUAGUAGUGGGGGAUAACUACUCGAAAGAGUGGCUAAUACCGCAUGAGAUCUACGGAUGAAAGCAGGGGAUCGCAAGACCUUGUGCUACUAGAGCGGCCGAUGGCAGAUUAGGUAGUUGGUGGGAUAAGAGCUUACCAAGCCGACGAUCUGUAGCUGGUCUGAGAGGACGAUCAGACACACUGGGACUGAGACACGGCCCAGACUCCUACGGGAGGCAGCAGUGGGGAAUUUUGGACAAUGGGCGAAAGCCUGAUCCAGCAAUGCCGCGUGCAGGAUGAAGGCCUUCGGGUUGUAAACUGCUUUUGUACGGAACGAAAAGCCCCGGGUUAAUACCCUGGGGUCAUGACGGUACCGUAAGAAUAAGCACCGGCUAACUACGUGCCAGCCGCCGCGGUAA